UCGAAGAUGUGCAUGUCAAGAACAGAGUAAAGGGGAGUUUAUUUCAGUAGUGUCUAGUACAGCGAGUGUGAAAUAAGCUCCGCCUUCGUCAGUCUUCAUCUCUCUUUGGUGGUGUUAUCAAGGUAAAGCAAUUCGGCCCAGAUCUUAAAGGCAGAUUGGAUAGACUCAUCGAUGGAGAAUAACUCUUGGCUGGACGGGCUGUCCCUACCAUAAAUAGCCUCAUCGAUGGAGAAUUUUAGAUGGAAGCUGACGGAGCCUGAGACGAAGAGGAUGGAUAAGAAGACGACGGAGCCUGAGAAGAAGACGAUGGAACGUAUGACUGACGUCGCCGCCAAGGGCUUCAUGGUCGCCAUGGAGGAAGUGACGGACUUGCGCGCGGCUGCCGGCGGCCAUUCCCGUUCCCAGGGUUUGCACGGCAUCAUGGUGAAGCUCCACAGCCGGAUCCACACCGAUCUGUGCCACGAGGGCUACGUCGUGCUGGACGCCGGCUUCCUCGCCGAACGCGCUGCGCUUGAAGAAGAGUGGAGCAAGGCCGCCGGCGCCUACGAUCAGCUGCCCGUUUUGUAGUUUCGUCAUCUUCCUCCAAGAACUCCACAGACGUGAUUUCAUAAGUUUGUUAGCAAAUUGUGAGCGCAGCAAAUUUAGCUAGAGUAUCGUUCUAGGAAAGUUAGCUAAAAGUUCGUACGUACAUGGGUAUGUGUUGUAUUUAUCUGAGCCACUACGUAUUUUGUUUCCCAUCAUUCAUGGGCUACAUCAAAGCUGCCUCUUCUUUCU